UUUCCGUAGGUGAACCUGCGGAAGAAUCAUUCAUAAUAAAGUGUUUUAUGGCACUUUUUAAAAAUCCAUAUCCACCUUGUGUGCAAUGUUAGAUCUCGUCAAUCUUGCGAGAUUUUUAUACAUCAACUCAUUCUUUAACUAAUUUGUCUGAAAAAUUUUAUGAAUACUUAAUUCAAAAUACAACUUUCAACAACGGAUCUCUUGGCUCUC
rnacentral:misc_RNA from 1 species